rnacentral:rRNA from 1 species
AGAGUUGAUCAUGGCUCAGGAUGAACGCUAGCUACAGGCUUAACACAUGCAAGUCGAGGGGUAGCAGGAUCUAGCAAUAGAUUGCUGACGACCGGCGCACGGGUGAGUAACACGUAUCCAACCUUCCGUUUACUCGGGAUAGCCUUUCGAAAGAAAGAUUAAUACCCGAUAGUAUGUUUUUCCCGCAUGGGAGAACCAUUAAAGUUUUUCGGUAAUCGAUGGGGAUGCGUUCCAUUAGGCAGUUGGUGAGGUAACGGCUCACCAAACCUUCGAUGGAUAGGGGUUCUGAGAGGAAGGUCCCCCACAUUGGAACUGAGACACGGUCCAAACUCCUACGGGAGGCAGCAGUGAGGAAUAUUGGUCAAUGGACGAGAGUCUGAACCAGCCAAGUAGCGUGAAAAGGAUGACUGCCCUAUGGGUUGUAAACUUCUUUUAUAUGGGAAUAAAGGAGCCUACGUGUAGGUUUUUGUAUGUACCAUACGAAUAAGGAUCGGCUAAUUCCGUGCCAGCAGCAGC